GGGGCUAAUACCGGAUGUGGCCACAGUUCCGCAUGGUUCUGUGAUUAAAGAUGACCUCUAUUUAUAAGUUAUCGUUUAGAGAUGGACUUGCGCACUAUUAGCUAGUUGGCGGGGUAACGGCCCACCAAGGCUUUGAUGGUUAGCCGGCCUGAGAGGGUGUACGGCCACAUUGGGACUGAGAAACGGCCCAGACUCCUACGGGAGGCAGCAGUAGGGAAUUUUGCGCAAUGGACGAAAGUCUGACGCAGCAACGCCGCGUGAGCGAUGAAGGUCUUCGGAUUGUAAAGCUCUGUUGAGUGGGAAGAACUGUUCCGGGAAUAACACCCCGGGGCGUGACGGUACCAUUCGAGGAAGCACCGGCUAACUACGUGCCAGCAGCCGCGGUAAUACGUAGGGUGCAAGCGUUGUUCGGAAUCACUGGGCGUAAAGGGAGAGUAGGCGGGAAAAUAAGUUAGAAGUUUAAUAUAUAGGCUUAACCUAUAACCUGCUUCUAAUACUGUUUUUCUUGAGUAUUGGAGAGGGAGAUGGAAUUCCAGGUGUAGCGGUGGAAUGCGUAGAUAUCUGGAAGAACACCAGCUGCGAAGGCGGUCUCCUGGCCAAAUACUGACGCUGAUGCUCGAAAGCUAGGGGAGCAAACAGGAUUAGAUACCCUGGUAGUCCUAGCCGUAAACGAUGGACACUAGAUGCUGGAGGAGUCAAUCCUUUCGGUGUCGGAGCUAACGUGUUAAGUGUCCCGCCUGGGGAGUACGCUCGCAAGGGUGAAACUCAAAGGAAUUGACGGGGGCCCGCACAAGCGGUGGAGCAUGUGCUUUAAUUCGAUGCAACGCGAAGAACCUUACCUGGGUUUGACAUGGGAGUGAAAGUUUCCAGAGAUGGGAGCCUUUCCGCAAGGAACACUCCACACAGGUGCUGCAUGGCUGUCGUCAGCUCGUGUCGUGAGAUGUUGGGUUAAGUCCCGCAACGAGCGCAACCCUCGUCCUUAGUUGCCAUCAGGUCAAGCUGGGAACUCUAAGGAUACUGCCUGGUUUAACCAGGAGGAAGGUGGGGAUGACGUCAAGUCAUCAUGGCUCUUACGUCCAGGGCCA
rnacentral:rRNA from 1 species